AGUGAACGCUGGCGGUAGGCCUAACACAUGCAAGUCGAACGGCAGCACAGUAAGAGCUUGCUCUUACGGGUGGCGAGUGGCGGACGGGUGAGGAAUACAUCGGAAUCUACUUUUUCGUGGGGGAUAACGUAGGGAAACUUACGCUAAUACCGCAUACGAUCUACGGGUGAAAGCAGGGGAUCUUCGGACCUUGCGCGAUUGAAUGAGCCGAUGUCGGAUUAGCUAGUUGGCGGGGUAAAGGCCCACCAAGGCGACGAUCCGUAGCUGGUCUGAGAGGAUGGUCGGCCACACUGGAAGUGAGACACGGUCCAGACUCCUACGGGAGGCAGCAGUGGGGAAUAUUGGACAAUGGGCGCAAGCCUGAUCCAGCCAUACCGCGUGGGUGAAGAAGGCCUUCGGGUUGUAAAGCCCUUUUGUUGGGAAAGAAACGCAGCAGGUUAAUACCCCGCUGUUCUGACGGUACCCAAAGAAUAAGCACCGGCUAACUUCGUG
rnacentral:rRNA from 1 species